GUCCAGGGGCGGGAAUCGAACCCACAACCUUCUGCUUCCCGGGCAGGUGCCAUGUCCACUAGGCUACCCUGGA